GACACAAUAAUGAGCCUCAGAAGUUAUGACUUUUUGUCGAGAUAUUCUGCGGUUUUAGUCAAACCUACAGCUUUAGGGAAGGAGAAAUAGCCGUUUUGUGGUUUUGCAACAACCAUUAUCAUGUGCAUUAUCGCUGCAGUCGGAUUCCAUCCUUAUCUGGACACAAGAAACAUUCAAAUAAAUACUGACACAAAAAAAAGUACAACUAGCAAACAAGAGGAAAGAACACCAUAAGAAGUCCCAUUCAGACGAGGCACCAUGCAUCAGCUGAGUACAGCAUCUCCACGGUGACGCAUGGUGGUGGCAGAAUUGGGCUGCGGGAAUGUUUGUCUUUUUCAAUAGGGAAGUGGUUCGGAAUCAGUGGGGAGAUGGAUGGAGCUAAAUAAAAGCCAAAAGUGAGAAAAAGAAAACUGUAUCCAAUGCCUCGGCUUACACAGAGGCCGGGAGGACAGCCUUCAUCAUACAGCCAGAGGUACAAUGCAUAGAUCUAUGCAUGUUUAUGUGUUCCAAUGGCCCAGUUAAAGUCCAGUCAUAUAUCCAAUUGAGAAUCUUUGGAAGAAAGCUACUUGUGGGACCACAAUUUUAGCAAAUUGUGGUUCUACAAAGUACUGCCUCAUGGGUUUCACCUGUUUCAUAUUCAUACUUGGAAAAAAAGAAACAAUAAAAUCCUUUUCAUUUCGUUUUCACAUCAUAAUUCUGCAUUACUUUGUGUUUUUCUGCCGCAAAAAGGGGAAAUAGGAGUGCUGUGUACCAUUCCAGAUAAGGUGCUUGAGUUGUUUAUGACCAGUAUGCUAAAGAUCUUGUACAGGAAGCAAACUUCUUAUCUUUCCUUGUGUAACUAUCUCAUUGUACAUAUCUCCACAUAUGUAAUCAAAUUAAAUGUGCUGACAUUUUCCAAG